AUGGAUCGGAUCGUCGGUAGCAAGUACAAGCUGGGCCGCAAGAUCGGGAGCGGCUCCUUCGGGGAGAUAUAUCUCGCCACGCACGUCGACACGUACGAGAUUGUAGCCGUGAAGAUCGAAAACAGCAAAACCAACCAUCCCCAAUUGUUAUACGAGGCCAAACUGUAUAAUGCUCUUCAGGGAGGGACUGGUAUUGCAAACAUAAAAUGGUGUGGCAUUGAUGGCGAAGAAAAUGUUCUUGUUAUUGAUUUGCUUGGGCCAAGCCUUGAGGAUCUGUUUGUUUAUUGUGGCCGGAGAUUCUCACUGAAGACAGUUUUGAUGUUGGCAGAUCAGAUGAUAACAAGAAUAGAGUUUUUGCAUUCUAAGGGGUACUUGCACAGGGACAUCAAGCCCGACAACUUUCUUAUGGGCCUUGGUCGGAAAGCUAACCAGGUCUACAUCAUUGACUUCGGACUUGCCAAGAGAUACCGUGACUCAACCACGAAUCGCCAUAUACCCUAUAGAGAAAAUAAAAAUUUGACUGGCACAGCUCGCUAUGCAAGUUGCAACACUCAUCUUGGGAUUGAGCAAAGCCGAAGGGAUGAUCUGGAGUCCAUUGGAUAUGUUCUCUUGUAUUUUCUAAGGGGAAGUCUUCCUUGGCAGGGUUUAAAAGCUGCGACAAAGAAGCAGAAAUAUGACAAAAUAAGUGAGAAGAAACUUUCAACACCUAUCGAGGUUUUGUGUAAAACCCAUCCUGUGGAAUUUGCUUCUUAUUUCCACUAUUGCCAUUCAUUGACAUUUGAUCAACGGCCAGACUAUGGUUUUCUGCGACGGCUCUUUAGAGACCUGUCGGACCGUGAAGGGCACCAAUUCGAUCAUGUCUUUGACUGGACAUUGUUGAAGUGUAAGCAAACCCAGAAGGUGAAGGCUCAACAGCAAGAUCCUGGUGUAAGUAGCAGGCCGGUUGCAAAGAAUAUGGACAAACACCAAGCUGAAGCUUCUUGUCAGCUUGAAGCAGAACAACGCCCAGUAAUCAGAAUGCAAAUAAGAUCUACUGCUGAGAACAGCCGUUCAAAUAAUCGACAUUCUGAUAAAUUGAGAGUGAGUGCUAGCACUGAUAAGGAAUUGCUGCAAUCAACAUCAUUUGGCCAUGCUGGUGCCCCAAGGAAGAACGUAUCAAUCUCCAAAACACCAUGGCUUGUCGAUCCCAACUCAGGACCUUCAAACCACCUUUAG
rnacentral:rRNA from 1 species